rnacentral:rRNA from 1 species
AGCGAACGUUUGCGGCGGGCUUAACACAUGCAAGUCGAACGAGAAUCCCUUCGGGGAGGAAAGUGGCGCACGGGUGCGUAACACGUGGAUAACCAACCCAUUGGUUUGGGACAACACCGGGAAACUGGUGCUAAUACCAGAUGUGUCGCAGCUGUCUUCAGGCGGUUGCGAGAAAGGCCCGCAAGGGUCGCCAACGGACGGGUCCGCGUCCCAUCAGCUAGUUGGUGAGGUAAUGGCUCACCAAGGCAAAGACGGGUAGCUGGUCUGAGAGGAUGAUCAGCCACACUGGAACUGAGACACGGUCCAGACUCCUACGGGAGGCAGCAGUGGGGAAUAUUGCGCAAUGGGCGAAAGCCUGACGCAGCCACGCCGCGUGAGCGAUGAAGGUCUUCGGAUCGUAAAGCUCUGUGGGGGGAGAAGAAGAAAGCCGGUGAAGAGCCGGCCCUGACGGUAUCCCCUUAGCAAGCACCGGCUAACUCCGUGCCAGCAGCCGCGGUAAAGUAUCG